rnacentral:piRNA from 1 species
UGAAAUAAGUAAGAAAGGUAGGUGU